rnacentral:rRNA from 1 species
GAUGAACGCUGGCGGCGUGCCUAAUACAUGCAAGUCGAGCGAACAGACGAGGAUCUUGCUCCUCUGACGUUAGCGGCGGACGGGUGAGUAACACGUGGAUAACCUACCUAUAAGACUGGGAUAACUUCGGGAAACCGGAGCUAAUACCGGAUAAUAUAUUGAACCGCAUGGUUCAAUAGUGAAAGACGGUUUUGCUGUCACUUAUAGAUGGAUCCGCGCCGCAUUAGCUAGUUGGUAAGGUAACGGCUUACCAAGGCAACGAUGCGUAGCCGACCUGAGAGGGUGAUCGGCCACACUGGAACUGAGACACGGUCCAGACUCCUACGGGAGGCAGCAGUAGGGAAUCUUCCGCAAUGGGCGAAAGCCUGAUGGAGCAACGCCGCGUGAGUGAUGAAGGUCUUCGGAUCGUAAAACUCUGUUAUUAGGGAAGAACAAAUGUGUAAGUAACUAUGCACGUCUUGACGGUACCUAAUCAGAAAGCCACGGCUAACUACGUG